GCCCCUCUAGCUCAGUUGGCAGAGCAGAGGAUUCUUAAUCCUCGGGUCCUAGGUUCGAGCCCUAGGGGGGGCA
rnacentral:tRNA from 2 species